UACAGAGGUCUCAAGCGUUAAUCGGAAUUACUGGGCUUAAAGGGUCCGCAGGCGGUCUGACAAGUAUCUUGUGAAAUCCCAUGUCUCAACCGUGGAAUCGCUCGAUAAACUGUCAGACUUGAGUGCAAAAGGGGUCGCUGGAACUCUAGGUGGAGCGGUGAAAUGCGUAGAUAUACUAGAGGAACGCCAAAGGUGAAGACAGGCGACUGGUUUGCAAACUGGACGCUCAUGGACGAAAAGCGUUGGGGAUCAAAACGGG
rnacentral:rRNA from 1 species